GAUGAACGCUAGCGGCAGGCUUAAUACAUGCAAGUCGAACGGGAUUAAGGAGCUUGCCUCUUAUGAGAGUGGCGCACGGGUGCGUAACACGUAUGCAACCUACCUUCAACUGGGGGAUAGCCUUCCGAAAGGGAGAUUAAUACCGCAUAACAUAAUUGAGUGGCAUCACUUGAUUAUCAAACGUCAGGGUUGAAGAUGGGCAUGCGUCCGAUUAGUUAGUUGGUGAGGUAACGGCUCACCAAGGCUACGAUCGGUAGGGGAUCUGAGAGGAUGGCCCCCCACACGGGUACUGAGACACGGACCAGACUCCUACGGGAGGCAGCAGUAAGGAAUAUUGGUCAAUGGACGGAAGUCUGAACCAGCCAUGCCGCGUGCAGGAAGACGGUCCUCUGGAUUGUAAACUGCUUUUGUUAGGGAAGAAACUUCCGUACGUGUACGGGACUGACGGUACCUAAAGAAUAAGGAUCGGCUAACUCCGUGCCAGCAGCCGCCGUAAGAC
rnacentral:rRNA from 1 species